rnacentral:rRNA from 1 species
CAGUCGCCGCGGGAAUACGAAGGGUGCAAGCGUUAAUCGGAAUUACUGGGCGUAAAGCGUGCGUAGGCGGUUGUGUGAGACAGGUGUGAAAUCCCCGGGCUUAACCUGGGAACUGCGCUUGUGACUGCACAGCUAGAGUAUGGCAGAGGGGGGUGGAAUUCCACGUGUAGUAGUGAAAUGCGUAGAGAUGUGGAGGAACACCGAUGGCGAAGGCAGCCCCCUGGGCCAAUACUGACGCUCAUGCACGAAAGCGUGGGGAGCAAGCAGGAUUAGAGACCCCCGUAGUCCCUGUCUCUUAUAC